UACGGAGGGAGCUAGCGUUGUUCGGAAUUACUGGGCGUAAAGCGCGCGUAGGCGGCUUUGUAAGUUAGAGGUGAAAGCCCCGGGCUCAACCUGGGAACUGCGUUUGGUACUGGCAAGCUAGAGUACGGCAGAGGGGGGUGGAAUUCCACGUGUAGCAGUGAAAUGCGUAGAGAUGUGGAGGAACACCGAUGGCGAAGGCAGCCCCCUGGGCCGAUACUGACGCUCAGGCACGAAAGCGUGGGGAGCAAACAGG
rnacentral:rRNA from 1 species